AUUGAACGCUGGCGGCAGGCCUAACACAUGCAAGUCGAACGAGUGGCGGACGGGUGAGUAAUAUAUGGGAAACUGCCCGAUGGCGGGGGGUCAAUACUGGAAAAGGUAGCUAAUACCGCCUACCAUCGGAUGUGCCCAGAUGGGAUGAGCUAGUAGGUGGGGUAACGGCUCACCUAGGCGACGAUCCCUAGCUGGUCUGAGAGGAUGACCAGCCACACUGGAGCGGGGACACGGUGCAGCCUCCUACGGGAGGCAGCGGUGGGGAAGAUUGGACAAGGGGCGGAAGGGAGAAGCAGCCAUGCCGCGUGUAUCAAGAAGGCCUUCGGGGUGUAAAGGACGUUCAGCGAGGAGGCGGUACUCGCAGAAGAAGCACCGGCUAACUCCGUGCCAGCAGCCGCGGUAAUUC
rnacentral:rRNA from 1 species